UUAAUCAAUAGAUGAUAUACAAGUGUUUUUAUGGGUUUCUCAGAGUUCUACUCUCUCUCAUACUUUUUGAUUAUAUUUUAUUUUCAUAUUGAACAGUUUCUGGAUGAGAAACUAUCGAUGGAAAUGUUCUAAAAUAUUACUU
rnacentral:sRNA from 1 species